rnacentral:rRNA from 1 species
CCUACGGGAGGCAGCAGUGAGGAAUAUUGGUCAAUGGACGAGAGUCUGAACCAGCCAAGUAGCGUGAAGGAUGACUGCCCUAUGGGUUGUAAACUUCUUUUAUAUGGGAAUAAAACGUUCCACGUGUGGGAUUUUGUAUGUACCAUAUGAAUAAGGAUCGGCUAACUCCGUGCCAGCAGCCGCGGUAAUACGGAGGAUGCGAGCGUUAUCCGGAUUUAUUGGGUUAAAGGGGUGCGUAGGCGGAUCGUUAAGUCAGGGGGAAAAUUGAGGGCCUAAACCCCUUACCGCCAUUGAAACUGGGGAUCUUGAGUGGAAGAGAAGUAUGCGGAAUGCGUGGUGUAGCGGUGAAAUGCAUAGAUAUCACGAAGAACACCGAUUGCGAAGGCAGCAUGCCGGAUUCCGACUGACGCUGAAGCAUGAAAGCGUGGGGAUCGAACAGGAUUAGAUACCCCUGUAGUC